UUCGCAAUGCCCGAAAGGGUGACGAAGCGACGCCGCGUGCGGGAAGAAGGCCUUCGGGUUGUAAACCGCUGUCGGGAGUUAAGAAGUGCAAGGGUGUUAAUAGCAUCUUUGCUUGACUAAGGCUCCGGAGGAAGCCACGGCUAACUCUGUGCCAGCAGCCGCGGUAAUACAGAGGCGGCAAGCGUUGUUCGGAAUUAUUGGGCGUAAAGAGCACGUAGGCGGCUAUGCAAGUCGGUUGUGAAAGCCUUCCGCUCAACGGGAGAACGGCAUCCGAUACUGCAUGGCUCGAGUGCGGGAGGGGAGAGUGGAACUUCUGGUGGAGCGGUGAAAUGCGUAGAUAUCAGAAGGAACACCGGCGGCGAAGGCGACUCUCUGGCCCGUAACUGACGCUGAGUGUGCGAAAGCUAGGGGAGCAAACGGGAUUAGAUACCCCGGUAGUCCUAACUGUAAACGAUGGGCACUAAGUAGAGGGGUUUU
rnacentral:rRNA from 1 species